GUCGCCGGAGUUCCUGCCACCAACGAUCGUACAUCACUGGUUGGAAAGGAAUCUACACAUAAAAGCUUCUUUUUUUGUUCAUAAGAGAAGGAAUCGUCAACAAUGAAAGAUAGUAAUGAACCGGUUAGAAGAUCGUUUGCGUUUUUAUAUACCAACCCAGUUGUCUGUUCAUCUUUACCCUUAACCGGUAAAUCUAAUUCAUUCUCAAUUGUUUCCACAUUUUCGGGACUGAUUUCUUCAUUAUGGGCCUCUGAAACUUUGGGCUUCUUGGAAACUUUUUCUAGCAUAGACUCUUGUGGACUUUCGGAAAGAGAACGCUUUUGCUUUAUUUCUUGUUCAACGUUGUCUUCUUUAAAUUCUUCUACUUUUUCUUCCACUUUAUUAACCGACGAUUCGUCUUUUGAGGUUUCUAUUUCAGAAUCGACAUGAGACUCUAACUCUUCUUUGCGCUGGCGAAAAUAUUCUACACAAGACGGUUCACACUCAAUCAUUUUUUGCAGCUCAAACAGAAGCCGCCAUAAUGUCGACACAGACGGUACAACACCAGGAGUUGACGUUUCACUCAGACGGGAAAAGGUCUCGUAUUGAUUUUCAAUUUUAAAACAUUGAGGAAUCACCGCGGGUUUCGAAUCAGCUUCAUUUUGUUGUUCGGAGGACAUCCCAAAAAAAUUUAAAUCGUGAACAAUACAACAUUUACAUAUGUCUCUCUCCCCCGAAAAAAUUCAUUACUGAGGUGGUGAUUUUUUAUACCGGAUUUCGAUGAUGGCGUACUUUUAGCGAAGUCUAGUAUACCACUUGUUACAUUGUUAUAACGGUGCUCAGAAAUAUUAAUCAAGAACAGCGUUGAAUUGCUACGAAUAUGAUAUCUCAAACCAAAUUAAACAGCAAUAUAUUUUAUUCAUAGUGAAUCCAUCGCAAAAGCAAUAUGCUUUGCGAAGUAUUUUGAACACUAUAAGUGAUCUUUGGUUUGUUUAAAAUUAAAUUUAUCUUAAAUUUAAUAGUUUCUAAACCAAUUGGUCUAGCGCAAGAACUAGAUAAACAGAGUUGCAGCUUCACAAGAUAUCAUGAAAUAGAUCUACGAGUCAAUGGAAUAGGAUUUGUUUAUACUUAAUUAAGAGGUAAAUAUUUACAAGAAAAUGUUUUAUCAUUUUUUUUUUUUAAAUUUUG